rnacentral:sRNA from 1 species
CAACAUAUGAAGGUAUCCAGAAAAAGGAAAAUGCUGAGAUUUCUUGGGACCAGUCUGCUGAAGUUUUACAUAACUGGAUUCGAGGUCAUGAUAAAGUCCCUGGAGCUUGGACAGAGAUAAAUGGACAGAUGGUCACUUUCUAUGGCUCGACAUUACUGAAUAGCUCUGUGCCUCCUGGAGAACCACUGGAAAUUAAAGGUGCCAAGAAGCCUGGUCUCGUUACCAAAAAUGGACUUGUUCUUUUUGGUAACGAUGGAAAAGCACUGAUGGUGAGAAAUCUGCAGUUUGAAGAUGGAAAAAUGAUCCCUGCCUCUCAGUACUUUUCAACGGGUGAGACGUCAGUGGUAGAACUGACAGCUGAAGAGGUGAAAGUGGCAGAGACCAUUAAGGUCAUCUGGGCUGGAAUUUUAAGCAAUGUCCCCAUUAUUGAAGACUCAACAGACUUCUUUAAAUCUGGAGCAAGCUCAAUGGAUGUUGCCAGGCUGGUUGAAGAGAUCAGACAGAAAUGUGGUGGGCUUCAGUUGCAGAAUGAAGAUGUCUAUAUGGCCACCAAGUUUGAAGACUUUAUCCAAAAGGUCGUGAGGAAACUGAGAGGAGAAGAUCAAGAGGUGGAGCUGGUUGUAGAUUAUAUUUCAAAGGAGGUCAAUGAAAUGAUGGUAAAAAUGCCAUACCAGUGUUUCAUAAAUGGACAGUUCACAGAUGCAGACGAUGGAAAGACUUACGACACUAUCAACCCAACAGAUGGAUCUACAAUAUGCAAAGUAUCCUACGCUUCUUUGGCGGAUGUUGAUAAAGCAGUAGCAGCAGCAAAAGAUGCUUUUGAAAACGGUGAAUGGGGAAGAAUGAAUGCAAGAGAAAGAGGAAGAUUGAUGUAUAGCGUGAGAAUGAACUAAUACAAGCAAGAUCUGGAACAAAGAUUGUGGGAGGGGGAUUUCAAGCUGGACUCUAGAGUGGCCCCAAAGGAACAGCUCAGAGAACCACUACAAAUACAGAAGAAAAAUAAAUAGAGAAGUUGAACACAAAAGAUGAGUCUUACUGUAUCAUAGUCAUUAUACAGUCCUGCACUUACCUUCCCAUAAAACUUGUGAACACCAAACAGAAAUCUGUUGUAGUGUUUGUAAUUCAUUGUGUACGUUGCUAUCUUGUCUCUUCAGUUAGUUUUGGAAAUAUUUUUGUGCCAACUGGAAAUCCUCAAAUGUUCAUGGGUUCUCAGAAGUGUGGGUUCUGGGAAUGUGGUUCCAAUGACUGGUACUGGCUCAGUCAUUGUUCUACUUCUUACACAUAGAUGAGGCAAGUUAUAUAUGCUUCCAAUACCCUCUGCUUCUCCUUUGUAAUUCUUGAAACAAAUGAUUUAUGAAAAUAUUUGUUUAAUGUCUUUCUUGCCUACUGGACCAUGAUCUCUAUAAGGGCAGAGAUCUGAUCCAUAUGUGUUUACCUCUGAAUUCUCCGUCCUUAGGAUACUGCAUUAUAUGUGACAGGAGCUCAAUCAAUACUUGUUGAAUUUAUUUCUUUCACUGACCACACAGACUUGCAGACCUACUGGAAGAGAACCAAGAAGAGCUGGCAACUAUUGAAGCCCUUGAUUCAGGGGCUGUCUAUACCUUGGCCCUGAAGACACACAUUGGAAUGUCUGUGCAAACAUUCAGAUAUUUUGCUGGCUGGUGUGACAAAAUUCAGGGUUCUACUAUUCCAAUCAACCAGGCCCGUCCAAAUCGCAAUCUGACCUUCACCAAGAAAGAGCCACUCGGUGUCUGUGCCAUUAUUAUUCCCUGGAACUACCCGCUGAUGAUGCUGGCAUGGAAGAGUGCUGCGUGUUUGGCAGCAGGCAAUACCUUAGUGCUCAAGCCAGCACAGGUCACGCCCUUGACUGCUUUGAAGUUUGCAGAACUGUCUGUGAAAGCAGGCUUUCCAAAGGGGGUCAUCAACAUCAUUCCAGGCUCAGGUGGCAUAGCAGGACAACGUCUGUCUGAACAUCCUGACAUCCGCAAACUUGGUUUCACUGGUUCCACUCCUAUUGGCAAACAGAUCAUGAAGAGCUGUGCUGUUAGCAACUUGAAGAAAGUUUCCCUUGAGCUUGGUGGCAAGUCUCCACUUAUAAUAUUUAAUGACUGUGAACUUGACAAGGCUGUGCGAAUGGGCAUGGGAGCAGUAUUUUUCAACAAAGGAGAGAACUGUAUUGCUGCUGGGCGGUUGUUCGUGGAAGAAUCCAUCCACGACGAAUUUGUGACAAGAGUGGUAGAAGAAAUUAAAAAGAUGAAAAUUGGUGAUCCACUUGACAGAUCCACUGAUCAUGGGCCCCAAAAUCAUAAGGCCCAUCUGGAAAAGCUGCUGCAAUACUGUGAAACUGGAGUGAAAGAAGGGGCCACUUUGGUGUAUGGGGGAAGACAAGUCCAAAGGCCAGGCUUUUUCAUGGAGCCGACUGUGUUCACAGAUGUGGAAGACUACAUGUACCUUGCCAAAGAGGAAUCCUUUGGGCCUAUUAUGGUCAUUUCUAAAUUCCAAAAUGGGGACAUCGAUGGAGUGUUGCAGCGAGCAAAUAGUACAGAGUAUGGUUUGGCCUCAGGGGUUUUUACAAGAGACAUAAACAAAGCUAUGUAUGUGAGUGAAAAACUGGAAGCAGGAACUGUUUUUAUUAACACAUACAACAAGACAGAUGUGGCGGCCCCAUUUGGCGGAGUUAAACAAUCUGGAUUUGGAAAAGACUUAGGUGAGGAAGCUCUAAAUGAAUAUCUCAAAACCAAGACGGUGACACUGGAAUAUUAGAGCAACACCAUCAUCAGGAAAGCCUUGACAGACAGCCCUUUUCAACUCUGGACACACUUAAGAAGACUGGGUGUGUUGAGGCAGGAGGUGUCAGCCACAAAUCAAAAAAUACACAGAUGGACCAUGAAGAGGGCCAAGCCAUGUUAAAGCAUUUACACAUGUGCCUGAGUAUUUUCUAAUACACCUUCCAGUGAUUUGGAGUUGUUGCAUUUUGACUAUGUUGUAUAUCAUACGUAUUUCUAAAAUACCAAGCUGUUUUUCCCCUACCUAGACAAAUCUAUUCAUGGUUUCCAACUUGAAGAUGUCAGUACCAUGCAGUUAUAAUACACAAGGUGCAUUUAUUGGAAACUUUGUAUAAUAUGUACAGGUUUUUAACCUCUGAACUAUACAUAGGGGGUUAUUAAAAAGAUUUUCUACAAGUCUUCUUCUAAGGAACAGUAUAACCUGUAAGGAAUGUGAAGGUAGUUCUUUUUUAGUAUUUGGAAAUAAGAUACAUCUUUGUGCCUUUGAUAUUCCAUUUUUUAACCCACUGUGAUGGGUGAUCAACCUAGAAACAUUAUCUUGAGUACCUACUAGGUACCAGGUACUAUAUUAUGUUCUGAGGAGUAUACAGAAUUUAAUGAUAUGAUGGCUGGCCCCCACAUAGUUUAAAUUUUAGUAAAUAGCUUUUGAAGCAAAUUUUACGUAUGAUAUAGUAGAAGGCUGAUCCUGGUCGUAUCAUACCAUCUUCCUAUCUAUGUAACUUUGGGAAACUCUCGCAACUCCUCUGAGCCUCUGCUUCCCUAUGUGUAAAACAGGGAUAGUAAAUGCCUUCCUCGGGACCCUUAAUGGGAGAAUUCAUUGCAAUAAUGUAAGUAAAGCACCUCACAUUAAUGCUUUGCUCAUGGUAAGUACUCAAAUUUAACUCUGAUUUCCUCCGUCACCAUUCUUAAAAGAUAUUGAGAUAGUCUAAUUAACUAGAUGAAUUCAUUUCCCACAACCCUUUUCAAUCAUCAAUUCCUAGAUAUUUUUCUCAUCCAUUGUUCUGACACAAUGCCUGAUACAGCAGCACUGAAAAAUGCCACACAAUGAAAAAUGGCAAUAGUACAAGGAAAAGGGGUGCUUUUCUUUGGGCAGCUCGCUCGUCCUUCAUGGGACGUCUUACUUUCCAUUUUUCCACCUAUUGGUUCUGCUGUUCACUGGCUGUGUUAUCUUGGGCAAGAUAGUAAUCUAAUAUCUCAGAGCCUAGGUUGAGUAUCUAUAAAAUGAAAAUCAAAUCUCUAUCUCAGUAGGUGUUGCAAGGAUUCAGUGAGAUAAUACACAUAAUGCACUUAACAAGGCAUUUGGACCAUAGCAUUGAAGAAAUGGAAACUAUUAACAGCCCAUUUCCCAUUGGCAGACAGAAGUAGUCAGGUAAGUAAAUUUUCACCAUCUAUGUAUGACUAGAAGGCGGCAAAUUUCUGAAUCACAUGAGUCUCCAAAAGAUAGCCAGAAAGUUAAAUUCUAUUAAUCCUCCUUUAAAAAUAAAAUUUCAGUAAACAUUCCUUUUUCUUUGGCUUUGAAGAAGCCUUAGGGAAUAUUUGUCAUUUUGGAGACUUGGCAGAAUAACAUGAGGGGAUUGUAGGGAAUCAAUAAAAACUAAACAACAAAAUCAGAGUCAGAGAACAUUUUCAAAAGGAAGAAUAGGAGGUUUGAUCCCAGCAUGAUAAACAGAGCGAAUUUGGCCUGGAAGCACUUUUGAUUAUACUAUAGCUCAUUUACCAUCCCAGAGUUUGGCACAGCUGAAAUUUUAAGUUGGAAUGAAUAUUCACUGGGCCCAAAAUGACAGUUCAUAUUUGAAUAAAAGUGACAAAAGCCUUUUUAUAAGUAAUCACUUUUAAGUGAAAUGUUUUAACUGAUUUCAUGUGAUUUAGAAUAUGAUUUAAUCAAAUUAUUUUAAUGAUAGAUGGAAUGGCAGACAAAAACAUGCCUGUCCUUCUAGACUGAUUUUACUUUACCCUCUAAUAUUCAUCUCAGUAGCAGUGUUUUAAAUAUUCUCUGGGCUGCAAAACUCUUUGGGAAUCUGAUAAAAGCUAUGAACACUCCCUGUGUCCCGCUUCUACCCCCAAAUUCAUGUGCACACACACAAUUCUGCAAGUAUCUUCAAGGUGUUCACAGACCUCCCAAAGGCCAUGCUUGGGCCCCAGAUUAAGAACUCCUUUCUCCAUAGCAAGUUUUAAACAUUUCUUACCAGCUUAUAUUUUUAGAUCUGGCUGAUCAGAAUCAAAGGCUCUGUGUAAUACAUAAAGUUACCAAGUGAACUGGAAUUGGAACAUCACCAUCCCCAGCCUGCUAGGUGAUUUACUUAACACAUAGAGUAAUAAAAUAAUCGCUGUUGCUUUAGAUCACGGAUUAUUUUGCUAAUAAUGCUAAGGAUGAAGCUGUGAUCUUAUUAUCACCUGAAUCGGGAGGUGUGGACACUUUAAGCAGUUCCACUUUCCUUCUAAUUCCCCAUCCCCAUGCCUUUGCUAAAGCUGUCCCUUUUGCUCUAACACCCUUCCUGGACCUUCCUACCCUAGCUGGGCUAAGUGUUUCUCCUCAGCGUUCCCACUUGUUUCAAACAUAGCACUUACCACUUGUACUAAAAGUACUUGCCUUCUUAAUUAGAUAUGAACAACCCUCCCCAACUCCAGUAUGGGCCUUCUGUCAAUAAUAAUACGAUAUGACAGCUACCAUUUAUUAAGGGCCUCCUGUAUGAAAGACCUUAGGCUAAGCAUGUUUUAAAUGUUAUUUAAUCUUCACAAUCUCUGAAAAAAAUGAAGAAAUCAACGUGCUUUUCUUACUACCUCUACCCCUAAGCCAUCAUUACUUUUUUUUUUUUUUUGAGACAGAGUUUUGCUCUUGUUGCCCAGGCUGCAGUGCAGUGGUGCAAUCUUGGCUCACUGCAACCUCUGCCUCUUGGGUUCAAGCGAUUCUCAUGCCUUAGCCUUCCAAGUAGCUGGGAUUACAGGUGUGUGCCACUACACCUGGCUAAGUAGAGAUGGGGUUUCGCCAUGUUGGCCAGGCUGGUCUUGAACUCCUGACCUCGAGUGAUCCACCUGCCUCCGCCUCCCAAAGUGCUGGGAUUACAGGCAUGAACCACUGCACCUGGCCUGUUACCUCUUUCCUACAAUUUUGCUCAAGUCUCCCAACUGGUCUUCUGGAUUCCUCUCUUCUGCGGUCCUGUUCAAAGCUUAAGUCAGACAGUGUCACUUCACUCGUCUGUUUAAAACCUUUCAAUGGCCCCCAUUUCACGUAGACCAAAGUCCAACGUAUUUACCUGGCCUACUCAUCUUGCUCCUAGCUACCUCUGACCUCAUCUCCUGUCAAUUUCCCUCUCAUUCUGUUCCACCAUCCUGACUGGCUUGACUUCCUCAACAGAACAAGCCUGCUCCUGCCUCAGGGCCUCUGUCCUUAUUCUUCCUCUUCCCAGGGGUGUGCUGGUAAAAUAUUUAACAAAUAGUUCUCCGGGACGGGGGAGAAAACCCUAAUUUGUAGCAUUUGCAGGUAUCUAUGUGUAAAUACUCUCAUCAAGGCUAUUUUUGAGCCACUAAUUUGCCUUCACUGAAUACAGAGUUUGGGAAGAGAUGCAUGCCAUCAGAACAAAUGCAAGCCAGCACCAGCACACCACUGCCUCUUCCUGCAACUCUUGUCCAUACACAACCUCAUGGCUGGCUGGCUCACUUCCUGCAGGUCUCUCCUCAAAUAUCAUCUGAUGAGAGACACAUUCCCUGACUAUGCUUUCUAAAAUAGGCCAUAUGCCCCCACAUUCAUACCCCAUCUGCUGUCAUUCUUUAUUCUUUUUAUAAGUGCAUUAUUUUCACAGCACUUAUCACUACCUGUUGUAUAUUAAUCAAUGAUCUUUUCCCAUUAGAAUGUAAGUUUCAUGAACAGGUACUUGUUUUAAUACUGUAUCUCCAGUCCUAAUAUGUAACAGGAGCCCAAUAAAUGUUUGCUUUCAAAUGGAGAGGUUAAGUAACCUGCUCAAAUCACACAGCUAUUAAGUGGCAGAACAGGUUUUCAAGCAAUGCAUCUGGUGGUUUUAACUAAGUCGAGAUAGUUUUUAUUCCUAAUGCCUAAAUCAGGGCCUAGGUAGUGAGCUGUGGGCACAUAUUAAGUAUUGGUUAAACUAAAAAUAAUAAUAAUAAGCAAAAUGGACAUUAUCUAUAAAAGCUUUUGUGGAAGUGGCCAGAGCUAGGGUAAGGAAACAAAUUUGGUUCCCCAUACCUGCCCUCCAAGAAAAUAAAGCUGUCAAGGAAAAUCUGGGCUAAGAGUAGGAUAUGAGGGAUGAUGGAUAAGGCAUGAGACAUGAGAAAUAAGGGGGAUUAAAUUAUUAUUACUAUUAUACAAAUGAUGCCUGAGUAGAUUUUUAAAAUGAUUAAAUACCCAAUGAUGUAAAAAACAUUUAUAAAAUAGGAAAGUAAGACUGACUCAACCAUAAUUUGUUGAGUCAACCCAAAAAUCUAUUUGGUUAUUUUCAAACAGAAAUAGCCUACAGAUGAUAUCUGAGAUUGUUCCAAACUUUUUCUAUGAAUAUGUAUACUUUUUUUACAUAAUUAACAUAAUACUGUAUAUUAAUUUGUUACCUGCUUUUUCAAUUAACAAUAUAUCAUAAGCAUCUAUGCCAAUAAACACAAUUCUGCAUAUUUCAA